UACGAAGGGGGCUAGCGUUGUUCGGAAUUACUGGGCGUAAAGCGCACGUAGGCGGAUAUUUAAGUCGGGGGUGAAAUCCCGGGGCUCAACCCCGGAACUGCCUUCGAUACUGGGUAUCUUGAGUUCGGAAGAGGUGAGUGGAAUUGCGAGUGUAGAGGUGAAAUUCGUAGAUAUUCGCAGGAACACCAGUGGCGAAGGCAGAUCUCUGGGCCGUAACUGACGCUGAGGAGCGAAAGCAUGGGGAGCGAACAGG
rnacentral:rRNA from 1 species